CCUCAUCAGCUCAAGCUCGAAAUGCCUAAAGACAUGACAGCAAUGCUUAUGAGGGUUCUAUUGAAUGGCUGAAGAAUGCUGAUGAGGAUCAGACAUCAGGAUGUAUAGCAGAGGAAAGCAGCUGUUCUGUUCUGGAGCCAUGGAAAUGCUUUGGAAUGGUUUUCGAGGAACAGUCAACAAACCUCCAGCAGCUGUGACUGGUAAAAGAAAUGCUUCAGUUCAGAGCAGAGAAGAAAGAACAUGUUUUAAACCAUGGAGUCAGAAGGUGAGAAACUCCCAGGUUACCAGGAGCAGAGUUACUCUCAGAAGAAUGGGAUGAGUUGGUGACUACACUCCUCAGCGCAACAGGAAGCGCAGCGUCUCCCAACAUGAUAGAUCUCUCAAUACCGCAGCAUUGGAAAGAGCCUUUGUUUUUUUCCACCCAAGGGAUCAUUUUGAAUAGUCUCUCAAGAUGUUUGAAGUGGCUAUAAUCUGGUCAAUGUUCCUCAAAGUGUGGAGGGUACCCGUGAGGCAAAAGAGAGAAGAGACUGGAAGCAGAGUGGGAGAGACGAGGCUCACUUCCAACCCAUCCACUUCUACACCCAUCACUUUUUUCUUCCUGCCUUGCAAGGUUAAGCCCGUAUUUAAUGAGAAUGCUGAUGGAUGAAGCCAUGACCGUAUGGUGAUUACUACAGUGGACCAAGAUUCCAGAUUUUGUGCUUGAAGACACGGGCAAAGCAGG